GCGGGUGUGGUUCAAUGGUAGAACGCCGGCUUCCCAAGCCAGAAGCGUGGGUUCGAUUCCCAUCAUCCGCU
rnacentral:tRNA from 1 species